UACGAAGGGGGCUAGCGUUGUUCGGAAUUACUGGGCGUAAAGCGCACGUAGGCGGAUUGUUAAGUGAGGGGUGAAAUCCCAGGGCUCAACCCUGGAACUGCCUUUCAUACUGGCAAUCUCGAGUCCGAGAGAGGUGAGUGGAAUUCCGAGUGUAGAGGUGAAAUUCGUAGAUAUUCGGAGGAACACCAGUGGCGAAGGCGGCUCACUGGCUCGGUACUGACGCUGAGGUGCGAAAGCGUGGGGAGCAAACAGG
rnacentral:rRNA from 2 species